rnacentral:misc_RNA from 1 species
UACAGAGGCCCCAAGCAUUAUCCGGAUUUACUGGGCGUAAAGGGUGCGUAGGCGGUUAUAUUAGUCGGGUGUUAAAUCCUGAGGCUCAACCUCAGGCUCGCAUUCGAAACGGUAUAACUAGAAGGUGUGAGAGGUAAGCAGAACUCACGGUGUAGGGGUGAAAUCCGUUGAUAUCGUGGGGAAUACCAAAUGCGAAGGCAGCUUACUGGCACAUUCUUGACGCUGAGGCACGAAAGCGUGGGUAGCGAAUCGG